AAUUCCCACGUGUAGCAGUGAAAUGCGUAGAAGAUUGUGGAGGAACACCGAAUGGCGAAGGCAGCCCCCUGGGUUUAGCACUGACGCUCAGGCACGAAAGCGUGGGGAGCAAACAGGAUUAGGAUACCCCUGGUAGUCCACGCCCUAAACGAUGUCAACCUAGUUGUCGGGUCUUAACGGGCUUGGUAACGUAGCUAACGCGUGAAGUUGACCGCCUGGGGAGUACGGUCGCAAGAUUAAAACUCAAAGGAAUUGACGGGGACCCGCACAAGCGGUGGAUUAUGUGGAUUAAUUCGAUGCAACGCGAAAAACCUUACCUACCCUUGACAUGUACCGAAGCCCGCCGAGAGGUGGAUGUGCCCGAAAGGGAACGGUAACACAGGUGCUGCAUGGCUGUCGUCAGCUCGUGUCGUGAGAUGUUGGGUUAAGUCCCGCAACGAGCGCAACCCUUGUCAUUAAUUGCCAUCAUUCAGUUGGGCACUUUAAUGAAACUGCCGGUGACAAACCGGAGGAAGGUGGGGAUGACGUCAAGUCCUCAUGGCCCUUAUGGGUAGGGCUUCACACGUAAUACAAUGGCGCGUACAGAGGGUUGCCAACCCGCGAGGGGGAGCUAAUCUCAGAAAGCGCGUCGUAGUCCGGAUCGGAGUCUGCAACUCGACUCCGUGAAGUCGGAAUCGCUAGUAAUCGCGGAUCAGCAUGUCGCGGUGAAUACGUUCCCGGGUCUUGUACACACCGCCCGUCACACCAUGGGAGUGGGUUUCACCAGAAGCAGGUAGUCUAACCGCAAGGAGGGCGCUUGCCACGGUGAGAUUCAUGACUGGGGUGAAGUCGUAACAAGGUAGC
rnacentral:rRNA from 1 species